rnacentral:ncRNA from 1 species
GAUAGGUCUGUAUCGAAACUGUGAUUGGACACUGACGCAGAGUCAACUAGCCUUGUUCGGGCGGAUCUCCGCGCGUAAAGCCAGGGUGGUCCGAGCCACGAGGGGGGAGGCUCGGGCCACCCAUU